CGGCAUCGGUAGCGUCUGGAAAGAUUUAUCGGUGAGGGAUGGGCUCGCGGCCUAUCAGCUUGUUGGUGGGGUGAUGGCCUACCAAGGCGACGACGGGUAGCCGGCCUGAGAGGGCGACCGGCCACACUGGGACUGAGACACGGCCCAGACUCCUACGGGAGGCAGCAGUGGGGAAUAUUGCACAAUGGGCGCAAGCCUGAUGCAGCGACGCCGCGUGAGGGAUGACGGCCUUCGGGUUGUAAACCUCUUUCAGCAGGGAAGAAGCGCAAGUGACGGUACCUGCAGAAGAAGCGCCGGCUAACUACGUGCCAGCAGCCGCGGUAAUACGUAGGGCGCAAGCGUUGUCCGGAAUUAUUGGGCGUAAAGAGCUCGUAGGCGGUUUGUCGCGUCUGCUGUGAAAUCCUCAGGCUCAACCUGGGGCUUGCAGUGGGUACGGGCAGACUAGAGUGCGGUAGGGGUGACUGGAAUUCCUGGUGUAGCGGUGGAAUGCGCAGAUAUCAGGAGGAACACCGAUGGCGAAGGCAGGUCACUGGGCCGCAACUGACGCUGAGGAGCGAAAGCAUGGGGAGCGAACAGGAUUAGAUACCCUGGUAGUCCAUGCCGUAAACGUUGGGCACUAGGUG
rnacentral:rRNA from 1 species